UGGAUAUUCUGGUAGGUGAGGCUACCACAGGGAUAUGGAUUGCUGCCGCGGAGUGGUGGAGACACCAUGAGCAGGUUUGAACAGGCUAUGUCGACAACAAGGCAUAAUCUAAUGCAAUUUCACCGCCCUGUGGAGUUAAAGCUUGAACAGGGCCGGUU
rfam:Phascolarctobacterium sp. CAG:207 genomic scaffold, scf109